GGAAGUAAAAGUCGUAACAAGGUUUCCGUAGGUGAACCUGCGGAAGGAUCAUUAUUGAAUAAACUUGGUUGGGUUGUUGCUGGCCUUUUGGGGCAUGUGCACGCCUAGCGCCAUUUUUACCACCUGUGCACUCAUUGUAGACUCGGAUUAACCCUCCGAGGCAACUCGGUCUGAGGAUUGUCGUGCGAAAGCAGACUUCCCUUGCUAUUCCAGUCUAUGUUUCUUAUUACCCCCUAUAAAUGUAAAUGAAUGUCUUUAAAUGGCCCUAGUGCCUUUAAUCAAAUACAACUUUCAACAACGGAUCUCUUGGCUCUCGCAUCGAUGAAGAACGCAGCGAAAUGCGAUAAGUAAUGUGAAUUGCAGAAUUCAGUGAAUCAUCGAAUCUUUGAACGCACCUUGCGCUCCUUGGUAUUCCGAGGAGCAUGCCUGUUUGAGUGUCAUUAAUCUAUCGACCUUCCAUGUUUUUAUUUAUUAACUUGUGAGGCUCGGAUGUGGGUGUUGCAGGCUUUAUCAGAAGUCAGCUCUCCUUAAAAGCAUUGGUGAAACCUCUGUUGAUCAUCCCUGGUGUGAUAAUUAUCUACGCCAUAGUGAAUCAACUUAGUUUGUAGGUUUUGCUUACAACCGUCCCUCAUGGACAAAUUAUGACAUUUGACCUCAAAUCAGGUAGGACUACCCGCUGAACUUAAGCAUAUCAAUAAGCGGAGGAAA
rnacentral:rRNA from 1 species